CGCGGCUCUGUUUUAUUUUUGCUCUGAGCCUUUCUCGGCGACCCUAGCGGGCGUCUCGAAAAUGAAUCAAAACUUUCAACAACGGAUCUCUUGGUUCUGGCAUCGAUGAAGAACGCAGCGAAAUGCGAUAAGUAAUGUGAAUUGCAGAAUUCAGUGAAUCAUCGAAUCUUUGAACGCACAUUGCGCCCGCCAGUAUUCUGGCGGGCAUGCCUGUCCGAGCGUCAUUUCAACCCUCGAACCCCUCCGGGGGGUCGGCGUUGGGGAUCGGCCCCUCACCGGGCCGCCCCCGAAAUACAGUGGCGGUCUCGCCGCAGCCUCUCCUGCGCAGUAGUUUGCACACUCGCACCGGGAGCGCGGCGCGGCCACAGCCGUAAAACACCCCAAACUCUGAAAUGUUGACCUCGGAUCAGGUAGGAAUACCCGCUGAACUUAAGCAUAUC
rnacentral:rRNA from 1 species